rnacentral:rRNA from 1 species
UGCGCAGAGAUGAGUUCUCCCUGAGACUUAGAGUCUCCUGAAGGAACGUUGAAGACGACGACGUUGAUAGGCCGGGUGUGUAAGCGCAGCGAUGCGUUGAGCUAACCGGUACUAAUGAACCGUGAGGCUUAACCUUACAACGCCGAAG